rnacentral:lncRNA from 1 species
AUAUUAGGAAACUAAGCAAGCACUGACAACCUGAAACCCAGAGGCUAUGGUAGGUACCAUAAUAACCCUAAAAUUAUUAGGAAAGGUAACAGCACAAAAGAAGCCGUUGGGUGCAGAAGAUGAGAUGAGCAGAACAAGCAGGAACAGUGAAACUUCAGGCACUGUGCAGUGACUGGAAUCAAAGGUAGCAGCAGGCAAUUAUAGUCUGUUAGACUAAUGCGGCCAAGACAAGAAGGAUGUGAAGUGUGUGAUCAACACAGAGGAUCAACACAAUUGAUCCUCUAAAGGGCCUUCAAUAAUAAAAGAAAACAGGGAAGUUAAACAGUGUGGGGAUAACCUGUUUGCUUCAUCACUGGUAUCUAGAGUUGUUUUUGCUAGUACAGCGUAGUCUGCCUGGCAUCUGUUUGCCACCCUAGUGAAGUGUCAGUCUGCCUUAGGUCCUGCGUCACACCUGCUAUUUCCGUGCAGAUGUCUUGGAUACCUCAGGGCCUCUCAAAUGGCACUGGGCGUCGAGCGUGGGCAGAGGAAUCCUGUCCUUUGCUGUGUGGAAGAACAUGCUCUUGAAGGGCCACAACAGCGUGGUAAUGGCUGCAGCCAAGUGUGGCAGCAGUGAGCAACAAGGAGAAAUUUUGAAAGUGAAUCUGUACACGCUUCGUGAACUGAAGACUUCCAUUGUGCCAGGUAGCUGUGAGUGAAGUUGCUGCAUGACAGAGAAUGUGAAUGAUGCCAUUAAAUUGGAGUCAGAGUUACCAUCCCUGGGCUCCUCAACUAGAACAUAUGGAACAUGCUGUUGCCUCUGUGUCUUUCCUGCACUCGGAAUGCUGGCAGACUCAUGAUGGUCUCUUUAUCAGACAGCUGGAUGAUGCCAGCACCAAGCUGGAGAUGGAAGUGCUCAGACCCUGCAGCAAUGAGACUAAUAUUAAGAGCCCUGAUAACAUCAGACACCACCCUCCAUUAUAUCACAAUUUCGUUUCCAUCUUCAUGCUCAACUUUAUUAUAAUAAAGAGCUUGUGGAGGUUCCUGACUGCUGGAAAACCAAGAUGCCAAAGAGAGCCAAAGCUAUUUGACUAUGCAUAAUGGUUGACUUUUCAAGGCAUUCUGGAUUUCAAAUACAACCUACAAUACAAUAACCAGCAACUUCUUCAACACAGGCAAGUGAGAAUACAACAAUUUUUUUCAUUAGUCGUUACAAACUUGAGCCAAAUUUAAACUGACAACAUGCAGGUGAGAAACACAGGGCCUGAAUUUCCAGCACUGCGUAUUCCACCAGCAUUU